rnacentral:snoRNA from 1 species
UCUUCAGUGAGGUAUAUCCUUACCUGUUGCUCCUUCAAUGGAGUUACAGAACAUGAUGAGUGGAGUUUCAUGAGAUAUGAUUAAUAUCUCCAUCUUGCAGGGAACAGCAACACCCUGUGAGACCCAUUCUGAU